rnacentral:rRNA from 1 species
UGGGGAAUUUUGGACAAUGGGCGAAAGCCUGAUCCAGCAAUGCCGCGUGUGUGAAGAAGGCCUUCGGGUUGUAAAGCACUUUUGUCCGGAAAGAAAUCCUUGGCUCUAAUACAGUCGGGGGAUGACGGUACCGGAAGAAUAAGCACCGGCUAACUACGUGCCAGCAGCCGCGGUAAUACGUAGGGUGCAAGCGUUAAUCGGAAUUACUGGGCGUAAAGCGUGCGCAGGCGGUUUGCUAAGACCGAUGUGAAAUCCCCGGGCUCAACCUGGGAACUGCAUUGGUGACUGGCAGGCUAGAGUAUGGCAGAGGGGGUAGAAUUCCACGUGUAGCAGUGAAAUGCGUAGAGAUGUGGAGGAAUACCGAUGGCGAAGGCAGCCCCUGGGCCAAGUACUGACGCUCAUGCACGAAAGCGUGGGGAGCAAAACAGGAUUAGAUACCCUGGUAGUCCACGCCCUAAAACGAUGUCAACUAGUUGUUGGGGAUUCAUUUCCUUAGUAACGUAGCUAACGCGUGAAGUUGACCGCCU